rnacentral:tRNA from 1 species
GGGCACUUGGCACAGUUGGUAGCGCGCACGCUUCGCAUUGUUUCUGUGAUUGCGUGAGGUCGUGGGUUCAAUUCCCACAGUGUCCA